GGGAAGGGAAUGAAGAUUAGUGAAGUAAAUCGAGAAAAUCACACUGACAAGUGGGAAAUUUUUAUAAGAUAAGAUUUCUUGCUGCAAAGGGUGGUAGGUGAGGUAGUUGGAGUGCCAGUAGAUGGAAAAAGUGGGUGAGUCGAGUCUGUCUUGUGGAAAAAGCACUAUUGGUAUGACAAGUCUCAUCCACUACCGGUGGGGGAGCAAGUAUACGGCGGCAACCGAGUAGUAGUAAACACAGGUUUCUGAACCGUAGGAACAUGGGCAAGUACAUGUUUGAGGAGAUAGGGUAAGGUGUCUUGUAAGAGAAGGGAGUCUGUUUCAAGUAAUCUGCGUAUGGCUAGUGACAUGAAGAAGCUGUGGUUUAUCAAGGAGAGCU
rnacentral:lncRNA from 1 species